rnacentral:rRNA from 1 species
UGCGGGGGGGGCAAGCGUUGUUCGGAAUUACUGGGCGUAAAGGGCUCGUAGGCGGCCAACUAAGUCAGACGUGAAAUCCCUCGGCUUAACCGGGGAACUGCGUCUGAUACUGGAUGGCUUGAGUUUGGGAGAGGGAUGCGGAAUUCCAGGUGUAGCGGUGAAAUGCGUAGAUAUCAGGAGGAACACCGGUGGUGUAGACGGCUUUCUGGACCGUAACUGACGCUGAGACACGAAAGCGCGGGUAGCAAACAGG